rnacentral:rRNA from 1 species
GAUGAACGCUGGCGGCGUGCCUAAUACAUGCAAGUCGAGCGAACGGACGAGAAGCUUGCUUCUCUGAUGUUAGCGGCGGACGGGUGAGUAACACGUGGAUAACCUACCUAUAAGACUGGGAUAACUUCGGGAAACCGGAGCUAAUACCGGAUAAUAUUUUGAACCGCAUGGUUCAAAAGUGAAAGACGGUCUUUCUGUCACUUAUAGAUGGAUCCGCGCUGCAUUAGCUAGUUGGUAAGGUAACGGCUUACCAAGGCAACGAUGCAUAGCCGACCUGAGAGGGUGAUCGCCCACACUGGAACUGAGAAACGGUCGAGACACCUACGGGAGGCAGCAGUAGGGAAUCUUCCGCAAUGGGGGAAAGCCUGACGGAGCAACGCGGCGUGAGUGAUGAAGGUCUUCGGAUGGUAAAGCUCUGUUAUUAGUGAAGAACAUAUGUGUAAGUAACUGUGCACAUCUUGACGGUACCUAAUGAGAAAGCCACGGCUAACUACGUG